rnacentral:rRNA from 1 species
CUACGGGUUGCUCCAGUGGGGAAUAUUGGACAAUGGGCGCAAGCCUGAUCCAGCCAUGCCGCGUGAGUGAUGAAGGCCUUAGGGUUGUAAAGCUCUUUUGUCCGGGACGAUAAUGACGGUACCGGAAGAAUAAGCCCCGGCUAACUUCGCGCCAGCAGCCGCGGUAAUACGAAGGGGGCUAGCGUUGCUCGGAAUCACUGGGCGUAAAGGGCGCGUAGGCGGCCGAUUAAGUCGGGGGUGAAAGCCUGUGGCUCAACCACAGAAUUGCCUUCGAUACUGGUUGGCUUGAGACCGGAAGAGGACAGCGGAACUGCGAGUGUAGAGGUGAAAUUCGUAGAUAUUCGCAAGAACACCAGUGGCGAAGGCGGCUGACUGGUCCGGUUCUGACGCUGAGGCGCGAAAGCGUGGGGAGCAAACAGGAUUAGAUACCCGAGUAGUC